rnacentral:rRNA from 1 species
AUGCCGCGUGUGUGAAGAAGGCCUUCGGGUUGUAAAGCACUUUUGUCCGGAAAGAAAUCGCACUUACUAAUAUUAGGUGUGGAUGACGGUACCGGAAGAAUAAGGACCGGCUAACUACGUGCCAGCAGCCGCGGUAAUACGUAGGGUCCAAGCGUUAAUCGGAAUUACUGGGCGUAAAGCGUGCGCAGGCGGUUGUGCAAGACCGAUGUGAAAUCCCCGGGCUUAACCUGGGAAUUGCAUUGGUGACUGCACGGCUAGAGUGUGUCAGAGGGGGGUAGAAUUCCACGUGUAGCAGUGAAAUGCGUAGAGAUGUGGAGGAAUACCGAUGGCGAAGGCAGCCCCCUGGGAUAACACUGACGCUCAUGCACGAAAGCGUGGGGAGCAAACAGGAUUAGAUACCCUGGUAGUCCACGCCCUAAACGAUGUCAACUAGUUGUUGGGGAUUCAUUUCCUUAGUAACGUAGCUAACGCGUGAAGUUGACCGCCUGGGGAGUACGGUCGCAAGAUUA